ensembl:snRNA U1 U1 spliceosomal RNA
AUACUUACCUGGAAGGGGAGAUACCAUGAUCACAAAGGUGGUUUUCCCAGGUUGAGGCUCAUCUAUUGCACUUUAGGUGUGCUGAUCCCUGCGAUUUUCCCAAAUGUGGGAAACUCAACUGCAUAAUUUGUGUUAGUGGGGGACUGUGUUUGCACUUUUCUCUG